GCCGCGCCUAGCCUUUGGCCGGGCGAAAACCGGGCACCCUUCACCCGGCGGGCGCGGCUCCUGAACCUUGGG
rnacentral:sRNA from 1 species